rnacentral:rRNA from 1 species
AGUGAACGCUGGCGGUAGGCCUAACACAUGCAAGUCGAACGGCAGCACAGUAAGAGCUUGCUCUUACGGGUGGCGAGUGGCGGACGGGUGAGGAAUACAUCGGAAUCUACUUUUUCGUGGGGGAUAACGUAGGGAAACUUACGCUAAUACCGCAUACGACCUACGGGUGGAAGCAGGGGAUCUUCGGACCUUGCGCGAUUGAAUGAGCCGAUGUCGGAUUAGCUAGUUGGCGGGGUAAAGGCCCACCAAGGCGACGAUCCGUAGCUGGUCUGAGAGGAUGAUCAGCCACACUGGAACUGAGACAUGGUCCAGACUCCUACGGGAGGCAGCAGUGGGGAAUAUUGGACAAUGGGCGCAAGCCUGAUCCGGCCAUACCGCGUGGGUGAAGAAGGCCUUCGGGUUGUAAAGCCCUUUUGUUGGGAAAGAAAAGCAGCAGGUUAAUACCCCGCUGUUCUGACGGUACCCAAAGAAUAAGCACCGGCUAACUUCGUG